UGCUAAUACCGGAUAACAAACAGAUGAUGCCUAUCAACUGUUUAAAAGAUGGUUCUGCUAUCACUCUUGGAUGGACCUGCGGUGCAUUAGCUAGUUGGUAGGGUAACGGCCUACCAAGGCGAUGAUGCAUAGCCGAGUUGAGAGACUGAUCGGCCACAUUGGGACUGAGACACGGCCCAAACUCCUACGGGAGGCAGCAGAG
rnacentral:rRNA from 1 species